UUAAUAUUAAUAGUUAUGUUCUUUAAAUUAAAAGAAUUUGGCGGUUAUUUAAUCUUUCUAGAGGAACCUGUCCUGUAAUUGAUAAUCCACGAUUGAUUUUACUUUAAUUAUACUUAUAUAUCGCUGUCAUUGAAUGUUUUAUAAGAUUAUUUUCUCUUAUUUUUAUGAAUAUAAUGUUAGGUCAAGAUGUAGUUAUGUUAAAGAAGAGAUGGGUUACAUUUAUAUAAUUAAUGGAUUGAAAUUUGAAAUAUUUUUCAUUAAAUUGGAUUUAGGUGUAAUUUUUAUAAAAUAAUAAUUUUGAUUUUAGUUCUAAAUAAUGUACACAUCGCCCGUCACUCCCAUUAUGAGUUGGGAUAAGUCGUAACAAAGUAGGCCUACCGGAAGGUGGGCCUGGUUAGUU
rnacentral:rRNA from 1 species